rnacentral:rRNA from 1 species
AAACAACUGUGAUUCCCUUAGUAAUGGCGAAUGAAACGGGAACAGGGCAUCGCGGAACUGCAGGUCAUCUUGGCCUCGCGGAAUGUCGCGUUCGGGAGAGUCUUCUCGAGGACCGGACGGCCAGUCAAAGUCCAACUUGACAGUGGCCACUGCCCAUAGAGGGUGAUAGGCCCGUAAGGCGGCUGUCCGUUUUCGCUGACUUUUUCCCUAGAGUCGGGUUGCUUGGGAGUGCAGCCCAAAGUGCGAGGUAAACUCCUCGUAACCCUAAAUAUGACCCCGAGACCGAUAGCAAACAAGUACGGUGACGGAAGAUUGAAAAGAACUUUGAAGAGAGAGUUCAGUCAUAGCUGUUUCC